rnacentral:ribozyme from 14 species
UGUAAUGUUUAGUCAGUGAUCCUGAUAAUUGUCCUUUUUUCCUUCCUUUAACAAUGGCAAAGAAAGACAAAAGUCAGGAACGCCAGUUAAACAUUUUAACUUCUCUUUUCCAUGUUGAGUUCUAUAUGUGUGUUCAAAAAUAGCUUGGGAUAUAAAAAGUAAUCAAAAA